rnacentral:rRNA from 1 species
GAUGAACGCUGGCGGCGUGCCUAAUACAUGCAAGUCGAGCGACCACACAAUGAGCUUUUUCCUUUACCGUUAGCGGCUGACGGGUGGGUAACACAUGGAUCACCUUCCUCUUUUUCUUGGAUAAUUUCGUGAGACCAGUUCUACUACCGGCUCAUAUAUCCAACCGCAUGGUUCAAUAGUUCUUGACGCUUUUCCUGUCACUUUUAGAUGGAUCCGGGUCGGAUUAGUUAGUUGGUAAGGUAACGGCUUACCAAGGCUACGAUGCGUAGCCGAGCUGAGAGGAUGAUCAGCCACACUGGAACUGAGACACGGUCCAGACUCCUACGGGAGGCAGCAGUGGGGAAUAUUGGACAAUGGGCGAAAGCCUGAUGGAGCAACACCGCGUGAGUGAAGAAGGUCUUCGGAUCGUAAAGCUCUGUUGUUAGGGAAGAAAAGAUGUGGGAGAAAAUAUGGACGUCUUGACGGUACCUAAACAGAAAGCAACGGCUAACUACGUG